rnacentral:snRNA from 14 species
AUACUUACCUUAACUGGCUCGGCGAAGAUCAAGAUUCUCGCCGCGCAAGGGGAGAGGCCUGCAUUGCACAUCGCGGAGUCGAUCCUCUUCGAUUGCCCUUCGGGGCCAUCGUGGUUACAAUUUUUGAUUUUCUCACUUUUCAUUGUGC